rnacentral:rRNA from 1 species
GAACGCGUGUCGGGUUUCGGCCCGGCAUGAGUGGCGCACGGGUGAGUAGCGCGUGGGAACCUGCCCUGUUGUGGGGGAUAACCGAGGGAAACUUCGGCUAAUACCGCAUGCGCCCGGGGGUGACUCCGGGGAAAGAUUUAUCGCAGCAGGAGGGGCCCGCGUCGGAUUAGGUAGUUGGCGGGGUAACGGCCCACCAAGCCUGCGAUCCGUAGCUGGUCUGAGAGGAUGAUCAGCCACACUGGGACUGAGACACGGCCCAGACUCCUACGGGAGGCAGCAGUGGGGAAUAUUGGACAAUGGGCGCAAGCCUGAUCCAGCAAUGCCGCGUGAGUGAUGAAGGCCUUAGGGUUGUAAAGCUCUUUCGGCGGGGACGAUGAUGACGGUACCCGCAGAAGAAGCCCCGGCUAACUUCGUGCCAGCAGCCGCGGUAAUACGAAGGGGGCGAGCGUUGUUCGGAUUUACUGGGCGUAAAGGGCGCGCAGGCGGCCCUUGUCAGUCGAGUGUGAAAGCCCCGGGCUCAACCUGGGAACGGCGCUCGGGACGGCAGGGCUGGAGAUCGGGAGAGGAGCGUGGAAUUCCCAGUGUAGAGGUGAAAUUCGUAGAUAUUGGGAAGAACACCGGUGGCGAAGGCGGCGCUCUGGACCGAUACUGACGCUGAGGCGCGAAAGCGUGGGGA